rnacentral:rRNA from 1 species
ACGAACGCUGGCGGCGUGCUUAACACAUGCAAGUCGAACGGAAAGGCCCUGCUUUUGUGGGGUGCUCGAGUGGCGAACGGGUGAGUAACACGUGAGUAACCUGCCCUUGACUUUGGGAUAACUUCAGGAAACUGGGGCUAAUACCGGAUAGGAGCUCCUGCUGCAUGGUGGGGGUUGGAAAGUUUCGGCGGUUGGGGAUGGACUCGCGGCUUAUCAGCUUGUUGGUGGGGUAGUGGCUUACCAAGGCUUUGACGGGUAGCCGGCCUGAGAGGGUGACCGGCCACAUUGGGACUGAGAUACGGCCCAGACUCCUACGGGAGGCAGCAGUGGGGAAUAUUGCACAAUGGGCGGAAGCCUGAUGCAGCAACGCCGCGUGAGGGAUGACGGCCUUCGGGUUGUAAACCGCUUUCGCCUGUGACGAAGCGUGAGUGACGGUAAUGGGUAAAGAAGCACCGGCUAACUACGUG